rnacentral:rRNA from 1 species
GAUGAACGCUAGCGACAGGCCUAACACAUGCAAGUCGAGGGGCAGCGCGGAGCAAGCUUGCUUGUUCUGGCGGCGACCGGCGCACGGGUGCGUAACAGGUGUGCAAUCUGUCCAUAAUCGGGGAAUAGCCCAGCGAAAGUUGGAUUAAUGCUCCAUGUGAGUUUUAGAGGCAUCUCUUUAAUUUGAAACGUAAGGAUUAUGGGUGAGCACGCUUCUGAUUAGGUAGUUGGUGAGGUAACGGCUCACCAAGCCGACGAUCAGUAGGGGUUCUGAGAGGAAGGUCCCCCACAUUGGAACUGAGACACGGUCCAAACUCCUACGGGAGGCAGCAGUGAGGAAUAUUGGUCAAUGGACGAAAGUCUGAACCAGCCAAGUCGCGUGAAGGAUGAAGGUUCUAUGGAUUGUAAACUUCUUUUGUCUGAGGGUAAAAAGGCGGACGUGUCCGUUCUUGCAAGUAUCAGACGAAUAAGCAUCGGCUAACUCCGUGCCAGCCGCCGCAGUAAGAC